UACAGAGGUCCCAAGCGUUGUUCGGAAUUACUGGGCGUAAAGGGCCAGUAGGCGGCCAACUAAGUCCGACGUGAAAUCCCAAGGCUUAACCUUGGAACUGCGUCGGAUACUGGAUGGCUUGAAUUCGGGAGAGGGAUGCAGAAUUCCAGGUGUAGCGGUGAAAUGCGUAGAUAUCUGGAGGAAUACCGGUGGCGAAGGCGGCAUCCUGGACCGAGAUUGACGCUGAAUGGCGAAAGCUAGGGGAGCAAACGGG
rnacentral:rRNA from 1 species